rnacentral:rRNA from 1 species
CCUACGGGUGGCAGCAGUAGGGAAUAUUGCUCAAUGGGGGAAACCCUGAAGCAGCAACGCCGCGUGAAGGAUGAAGGUUUUCGGAUUGUAAACUCCUUUUGUUAGGGAAGAUAAUGACGGUAUCUAACGAAUAAGCACCGGCUAACUCCGUGCCAGCAGCCGCGGUAAUACGGAGGGUGCAAGCGUUACUCGGAAUCACUGGGCGUAAAGAGCGCGUAGGCGGGAUAGCAAGUCAGAUGUGAAAUCCUAUGGCUUAACCAUAGAACUGCAUUUGAAACUGUUAUUCUAGAGUAUGGGAGAGGGAGGGGGAAUUCUUGGUGUAGGGGUAAAAUCCGUAGAGAUUAAGAGGAAGA